rnacentral:rRNA from 1 species
UACGGGGGGGGCAAGCGUUGUUCGGAAUUACUGGGCGUAAAGGGCUCGUAGGUGGCCAACUAAGUCAGACGUGAAAUCCCUCGGCUUAACCGGGGAACUGCGUCUGAUACUGGAUGGCUUGAGGUUGGGAGAGGGAUGCGGAAUUCCAGGUGUAGCGGUGAAAUGCGUAGAUAUCUGGAGGAACACCGGUGGCGAAGGCGGGUCUCUGGGCAUCUCCUGACGCUGAGGCGCGAAAGCGUGGGGAGCAAACGGG